AAAUGCGCUGAUAGGUUAAGUUUUUACUUGUGUUUAAGGAAAGUAUUCUAUAAGGUUAAUUGUACAUUAAUUUACUAAUGAAAUAUUUACCACUUUAGACUGUGAAGGUGAUUAGUUGCUUAGUUUAAAGUAAAUAGGUUGUACCUUUGGUCUCAGGGUCUAUUAAAAUUAUCAAUUUAUUUUAGUUUCCCGAAUGGAAAAGAGUUACACGGCUAACUUUUUAUUGUUGCAAAAAUGAGAGGAAUAGCUGCUGUAGGGGUGAGAUGCCAUGCGGUUUUUCGGUUAUCUGGUUCUCAUAGAAAUAUAAGGUUCUCGUUAUUUUUAGCAGAAAGAUUAUUAGGGAUAAGCUUAAUUUUCUAUCUUUAUACUAGUAAGUACUCUAAUGUAUCCUAGGCUUAAAAGUGGCUUUGUGUUUUAUAACUAAAAUUAGUUUAUUGUGUUAAAGGGUUAUGUGGGGGUAUUCUUGAAUUUUUUAGCUUAGUAAUAAUGGUAGAAUUAGUAGAUUAAUAACUAUUAAAUAAAUUUAGGUGAAUUAAGGUACUGUGGUUUAUAGUUUAGGUUUUUCUAAGGAACUCGGCAAAUCUACCUCUUAACUGUUUAUCAAAAACAUUUCUUUAAGUUAGGUUUUAAAGUAAUCCCUGCCCCACGAUGUUUGAGUUAAAUGGCCGCAGUAGCCUGACUGUGCUAAGGUAGCAUAAUCAUUUGGUUCUUAAUUGGGAUCUGGUAUGAAAGGGUUAAUAAGGGGUAACUGUCUAUGAAAAUAUAUUUGAAAUUAAAUUUUUAGUAAGAAUGCUAGAAUGAGAUAGUGGGACGAUAAGACCCUAUAAAGCUUUACUGUUAAUUAAUGAAAAUUUUUACUAAUUUUAUUACUAUUCAGUUCUGCUGGGGCGGUAGCUAACUAAACUUAGUUAAUUUUGUUCUUUUUAGGACCCUCUAUUAGGGAUAGUAAGAUCAAGUUACUUUAGGGAUAACAGCAUAAUAUACUUAUGGAGUUCUAAUCGAAGAGUAUGAUUAUGACCUCGAUGUUGAAUUAAUCUUAUUGUAAGGUGUAGAAGCUUUAUGAAUUAGUCUGUUCGACUAUUAAAGGGUUACGUGAUUUGAGUUCAAACCGGUUUAAGCCAGGUUGG
rnacentral:rRNA from 1 species